UGGAGACGUAGCUCAGUGGUAGAGUAUGUACUUACCAUGCUCAAGGUCCUGAGUUCAAUCCCCAGCACUGCAA
rnacentral:tRNA from 1 species